rnacentral:rRNA from 1 species
GAUGAACGCUGGCGGCGUGCCUAAUACAUGCAAGUCGAGCGAACGGACGAGAAGCUUGCUUCUCUGAUGUUAGCGGCGGACGGGUGAGUAACACGUGGAUAACCUACCUAUAAGACUGGGAUAACUUCGGGAAACCGGAGCUAAUACCGGAUAAUAUUUUGAACCGCAUGGUUCAAAAGUGAAAGACGGUCUUGCUGUCACUUAUAGAUGGAUCCGCGCUGCAUUAGCUAGUUGGUAAGGUAACGGCUUACCAAGGCAACGAUGCAUAGCCGACCUGAGAGGGUGAUCGGCCACACUGGAACUGAGACACGGUCCAGACUCCUACGGGAGGCAGCAGUAGGGAAUCUUCCGCAAUGGGCGAAAGCCUGACGGAGCAACGCCGCGUGAGUGAUGAAGGUCUUCGGAUCGUAAAACUCUGUUAUUAGGGAAGAACAUAUGUGUAAGUAACUGUGCACAUCUUGACGGUACCUAAUCAGAAAGCCACGGCUAACUACGUGCCAGCAGCCGCGGUAAUACGUAGGUGGCAAGCGUUAUCCGGAAUUAUUGGGCGUAAAGCGCGCGUAGGCGGUUUUUUAAGUCUGAUGUGAAAGCCCACGGCUCAACCCGUGGAGGGUCAUUGGAAACUGGAAAACUUGAGUGCAGAAGAGGAAAGUGGAAUUCCAUGUGUAGCGGUGAAAUGCGCAGAGAUAUGGAGGAACACCAGUGGCGAAGGCGACUUUCUGGUCUGUAACUGACGCUGAUGUGCGAAAGCGUGGGGAUCAAACAGGAUUAGAUACCCUGGUAGUCCACGCCGUAAACGAUGAGUGCUAAGUGUUAGGGGGUUUCCGCCCCUUAGUGCUGCAGCUAACGCAUUAAGCACUCCGCCUGGGGAGUACGACCGCAAGGUUGAAACUCAAAGGAAUUGACGGGGACCCGCACAAGCGGUGGAGCAUGUGGUUUAAUUCGAAGCAACGCGAAGAACCUUACCAAAUCUUGACAUCCUUUGACAACUCUAGAGAUAGAGCUUUCCCCUUCGGGGGACAAAGUGACAGGUGGUGCAUGGUUGUCGUCAGCUCGUGUCGUGAGAUGUUGGGUUAAGUCCCGCAACGAGCGCAACCCUUAAGCUUAGUUGCCAUCAUUAAGUUGGGCACUCUAAGUUGACUGCCGGUGACAAACCGGAGGAAGGUGGGGAUGACGUCAAAUCAUCAUGCCCCUUAUGAUUUGGGCUACACACGUGCUACAAUGGACAAUACAAAGGGCAGCGAAACCGCGAGGUCAAGCAAAUCCCAUAAAGUUGUUCUCAGUUCGGAUUGUAGUCUGCAACUCGACUACAUGAGGCUGGAAUCGCUAGUAAUCGUAGAUCAGCAUGCUACGGUGAAUACGUUCCCGGGUCU